GGCAGCAGUGCCUUACAUGAGCAGACAGAACUCUGUUCUGGAAGGAGGCUAAAACAAGACUCUACCUAGCGUCCAACCAUAUAACAUGAGACAAGAAGGGCAAGGACAGCGGUUUGGCUUCAACCAGGAGGUGAAAGACAAAAGGUGGAGCAUCUUUAUUUAACCCCACAGUCGUAAUUCAGGAUUUGGUUCAUCAUUGUCAUCCCUGCUGUUACCAUCACUGGAUUCCAAACCACCAACACUGCAUUCUGCUGCUUCCAGCUAGCUGGACUCUUUUCUGUAAAAGUGUAUAGUUUUUACUUUUGAAUAGUUUAUCACAAUAUACUUGUUUUACAGUUAUAUUUAAAUAAGUAUGAGCCUACAUUUGAGAAUUUUGUUUGUAGUAUACAGUCCUGUAUAAACAAAGUAUAAUCCAAAUUAUAAUUAAUUACUACUUAAGUUGUACAGUAUACAUCUAUUUAUGUUUAAUAUAUCAUACAGCUUCCUGUCAGAGUUGUUAAAGAAAUAUUUGUAAAAGUAUAUGAAAAGUAUAGUAGUUACAUAUUUUUUGAAACCCACUUGGAAUACUGCAUUUCAAUUAACUUGUACUUUAAUGUGAAAUGAUGUGUUCGCUUUUUGUUCACUCUUUGUUAUUAACAUAUAGUACACUCGUAAUGAAUACAUUAAAUUGCAACUCAAAUACCAGUGUACUGCAUAUUGUAUUACUUUUUAUAAGCAGAGAUACUGUAAAUAUUAUUUGAUUAAAAUCCACUUUAAGUUUA